rnacentral:misc_RNA from 1 species
CGCACCUUGCGCUCCUUGGUAUUCCGAGGAGCAUGCCUGUUUGAGUGUCAUGGUAUUCUCAACUCCCUAAAUCUUUGCGGAUUUGGGUGAGUUGGAUGUGGAGGUGAUUGCUGGCGUGCAUUAGUUUGCGUUGUCGGCUCCUCUGAAAUAAAUUAGCGGAAAUGUUGCCGUGUCAACCUCAGUGUGAUAAUUGUCUACGCUGUUGUUGCUCUGCAAAAUAUAUGUUUCCGCUUCAAAUCGUCUUCGGACAAUUUCUUGACAUCUGACCUCAAAUCAGGUAGGACUACCCGCUGAACUUAA